rnacentral:lncRNA from 1 species
CAAAACCUGCAAGGUGCUAGACAUACAAGAACAUGAAAAUGAAAAGAAACAUAUGAUCUGACAGCUUCUCCAUAAGAGGAAAAUCCUUAAUAGCUAAAUACUUGUUCAAAGUAUUCCUUGAAGCAAUCUCCAUUUUUUUUUCACGGUUAUGGUCAUCAAGAUAAAAAACAAAACAAAACAGAAAACAAGUUAUUUUGCCUUUAAGUCUCCAAAACUGGCUGUAUCCUCAACUUCUGUUUGCAUAUGCAGUUACAGUCUCAGAAUUUCUCCAACUUAAAGCAAAAUGUAGAAGCAAGAUAAGACUAUUGGCUUAAGAGAUUGAAAAGAAAGGAUGGAGUUUCCCAUUUUAUUUAGAAUUCAGAUUCUUUUUGAGCCAUUACUGUCCAUUUCUCUUGGUGUCUACCCAAUGGCCUAAUGUUUAACUAUGCGAGACAUUCCAAGUCUAUUUUAUAUAUAUAUACACACACACACACACACACACACACACACACAAUAGUGCUGUGUUCUGAAUGUGUGUGUCCCUGAAAAAUUCAUAUAUUAAAACUUAAUCCUCAAUGCAAUAAUAUUAAGAGGUAUGGACUUUGGGAGUUGAUUAGAUCAUGAAGACUCUGCAAUCAUGAAUGGCACUUGUGCUCUUGGGAGCUUGGGGGCCCUUUUGCCACGUAAGGAUGCAGCAAAAGGCACCAUCUAUGAAGAAGAGAGCAAGC